AGCAGCUUGCUGCUUCGCUGACGAGUGGCGGACGGGUGAGUAAUGUCUGGGAAACUGCCUGAUGGAGGGGGAUAACUACUGGAAACGGUAGCUAAUACCGCAUAACGUCGCAAGACCAAAGAGGGGGACCUUCGGGCCUCUUGCCAUCGGAUGUGCCCAGAUGGGAUUAGCUAGUAGGUGGGGUAACGGCUCACCUAGGCGACGAUCCCUAGCUGGUCUGAGAGGAUGACCAGCCACACUGGAACUGAGACACGGUCCAGACUCCUACGGGAGGCAGCAGUGGGGAAUAUUGCACAAUGGGCGCAAGCCUGAUGCAGCCAUGCCGCGUGUAUGAAGAAGGCCUUCGGGUUGUAAAGUACUUUCAGCGGGGAGGAAGGCGAUAAGGUUAAUAACCUUGUCGAUUGACGUUACCCGCAGAAGAAGCACCGGCUAACUCCCUGCCAGCAGCCGCGGUAAUACGGAGGGUGCAAGCGUUAAUCGGAAUUACUGGGCGUAAAGCGCACGCAUGCGGUCUGUCUAGUCGGAUGUGAAAUCCCCGGGCUCAACCCUGGGAACUGUAUUCCAAACUGGCAGGCUAGAGUCUUGUACAGGGGGGUAGAA
rnacentral:rRNA from 1 species